rnacentral:rRNA from 1 species
UUCCGGUUGAUCCCGCCGGAGGUCAUUGCUAUCGGGGUCCGAUUUAGCCAUGCUAGUUGUACGUCUAACGUAGCGAAAAGCUCCGUAACACGUGGCCAAACUACCCUCUGGAGGACGAUAACCUCGGGAAACUGAGGCUAAUAGUCCAUACGGUACGCGAGUUGGAAUACUGGGUAUCAGAAACGCUCCGGCGCCAGAGGAUGUGGCUGCGGCUGAUUAGGUAGACGGUGGGGUAACGGCCCACCAUGCCGAUAAUCAGUACGGGUUGUGAGAGCAAGAGCCCGGAGACGGAAUCUGAGACAAGAUUCCGGGCCCUACGGGGCGCAGCAGGCGCGAAACCUUUACACUGCACGCCAGUGCGAUAAGGGGACCCCGAGUGCGAGGGCAUACUAGCCCUCGCUUUUCUGAACCGUAGGGAGGUUCAGGAACAAGAGCUGGGCAAGACCGGUGCCAGCCGCCGCGGUAAUACCGGCAGCUCGAGUGAUGACCGCUGUUAUUGGGCCUAAAGCGUCCGUAGCUGGCCACGCAAGUCCGUCGGGAAAUCCAUCGGCUCAACCGAUGGGCGUCCGGCGGAAACUGCGUGGCUUGGGACCGGAAGGCUCGAGGGGUACGUCCGGGGUAGGAGUGAAAUCCCGUAAUCCUGGACGGACCACCGAUGGCGAAAGCACCUCGAGAAGACGGAUCCGACAGUGAGGGACGAAAGCUGGGGUCUCGAACCGGAUUAGAUACCCGGGUAGUCCCAGCCGUAAACGAUGCCAGUUAGGUGUGGCAGAGGCUACGAGCCUCUGCUGUGCCGUAGGGAAGCCGAGAAACUGGCCGCCUGGGAAGUACGUCCGCAAGGAUGAAACUUAAAGGAAUUGGCGGGGGAGCACUACAACCGGAGGAGCCUGCGGUUUAAUUGGAGUCAACGCCGGG